CCUACGGGAGGCAGCAGUGGGGAAUAUUGGACAAUGGGGGGAACCCUGAUCCAGCCAUGCCGCGUGUGUGAAGAAGGCCCUCGGGUUGUAAAGCACUUUCAGUGAGGAAGAACGCCUGGUGGUUAAUACCCAUCAGGAAAGACAUCACUCACAGAAGAAGCACCGGCUAACUCCGUGCCAGCAGCCGCGGUAAUACGGAGGGUGCGAGCGUUAAUCGGAAUUACUGGGCGUAAAGCGCGCGUAGGUGGCUUGAUAAGCCGGUUGUGAAAGCCCCGGGCUCAACCUGGGAACGGCAUCCGGAACUGUCAAGCUAGAGUGCAGGAGAGGAAGGAAGAAUUCCCGGUGUAGCGGUGAAAUGCGUAGAGAUCGGGAGGAAUACCAGUGGCGAAGGCGGCCUUCUGGACUGACACUGACACUGAGGUGCGAAAGCGUGGGUAGCAAACAGGAUUAGAUACCCGAGUAGUC
rnacentral:rRNA from 1 species